rnacentral:pre_miRNA from 1 species
GGGGCCCAGCUGGAAAUGUUCUAGCCAAAAAAGUUUGCCGAGAAUCACUGUGGGUUUUUUUUGCUGGAACAUUUCUGGUUGUGCCUC